rnacentral:rRNA from 1 species
GACGAACGCUGGCGGCGUGCCUAAUACAUGCAAGUAGAACGCACAGUUUAUACCGUAGCUUGCUACACCAUAGACUGUGAGUUGCGAACGGGUGAGUAGCGCGUAGGUAACCUGCCUGGUAGCGGGGGAUAACUAUUGGAAACGAUAGCUAAUACCGCAUAAUAUUGAUUAUUGCAUGAUAAUUGAUUGAAAGAUGCUAUUGCAUCACUACCAGAUGGACCUGCGUUGUAUUAGCUAGUAGGUGAGGUAACGGCUCACCUAGGCGACGAUACAUAGCCGACCUGAGAGGGUGAUCGGCCACACUGGGACUGAGACACGGCCCAGACUCCUACGGGAGGCAGCAGUAGGGAAUCUUCGGCAAUGGACGAAAGUCUGACCGAGCAACGCCGCGUGAGUGAAGAAGGGUUUCGGAUCGUAAAGCUCUGUUGUAAGAGAAGAACGGGUGUGAGAGUGGAAAGUUCACACUGUGACGGUAUCUUACCAGAAAGGGACGGCUAACUACGUG